AGUGAACGCUGGCGGCGUGCUUAACACAUGCAAGUCGAACGAUGAAAUCUUGCUUGCAAGAUGGAUUAGUGGCGGAUGGGUGAGUAAUAUAUAGCUAACCUGCCCCUUGGAGGGGAAUAACAGUUGGAAACGACUGCUAAUACCCCAUACUCCACUACACUCUAAUGUGUAGUGGGAAAACUCCGGUGCCAAGGGAUGGGGCUAUAUCCUAUCAGCUAGUUGGUAAGGUAAUGGCUUACCAAGGCUAUGACGGGUAGCUGGUCUGAGAGGAUGAUCAGCCACACUGGAACUGAGACACGGUCCAGACUCCUACGGGAGGCAGCAGUGGGGAAUAUUGGACAAUGGGGGAAACCCUGAUCCAGCAACGCCGCGUGGAGGAUGACGCAUCUAGGUGUGUAACUCCUUUUAUAAGGGAAGAUAAUGACGGUACCUUAUGAAUAAGCACCGGCUACUCCGUGCCAGCAGCCGCGGUAAUACGGGGGGUGCAAGCGUUACUCGGAAUCAUGGCGUAAAGGGCGCGUANGCGGGUUGUUAAAUUGGAAUGAAUCCCCGGCUUACCUGGGA
rnacentral:rRNA from 1 species